GGUAAUGGAUGGCACAUCGGAAUAAGUGUUGAUGUAUUUUUGGCAGCCAUAAUACCAGCGAUUUAGCAGUGUUCAAUACAUUGCCUUUGGUA
rnacentral:tRNA from 1 species